CCUACGGGUGGCAGCAGUGAGGAAUAUUAGUCAAUGGACGAGAGUCUGAACCAACCAAGUAGCGUGAAGGAUGACUGCCCUAUGGGUUGUAAACUUCUUUUAUAUGGGAAUAAAAUGUUCCACGUGUGGGAUUUUGUAUGUACCAUAUGAAUAAGGAUCGGCUAACUCCGUGCCAGCAGCCGCGGUAAUACGGGGGAUCCGAGCGUUAUCCGGAUUUAUUGGGUUUAAAGGGAGCGUAGGUGGGUUGUUAAGUCAGUUGUGAAAGUUUGCGGCUCAACCGUAAAAUUGCAGUUGAAACUGGCAGUCUUGAGUACAGUAGAGGUGGGCGGAAUGCGUGGUGUAGCGGUGAAAUGCUUAGAUAUCACGAAGAACUCCGAUUGCGAAGGCAGUUCACUGGACUGCAACUGACACUGAGGCUCGAAAGUGUGGGUAUCAAACAGGAUUAGAUACCCCAGUAGUC
rnacentral:rRNA from 1 species